rnacentral:rRNA from 1 species
UACGUAGGGUGCGAGCGUUUGUCCGGAAUUAUUGGGCGUAAAGGGCUCGUAGGCGGUUUGUCGCGUCGGGAGUGAAAACCCAGGGCUUAACUCUGGGCUGGCUUUCGAUACGGGCAGACUAGAGGCAUGCAGGGGAGAACGAAUUCCUGGGUGUAGCGGUGAAAUGCGCAGAUAAUCAGGAGGAACACCGGUGGCGAAGGCGG